GCUAGAAUUGUGGGUGUUGCAUCUUCUAUAAUGUCUUCUAGUGUAUCUACUUCGAAGCAACUAUCCAUUGAUGGUCCUUGGAAAGCACCAAACACAUUUAGUCUCAGUUUCUUAUUCCCAAAUGAUACGUCCAUGACUCCUGUCCUACAAUUAAUGCAUGCAUUUGCCGUAGCUAGGAAGGGUCGUCCUAAGAUAAUGGAAAUUUGUCUGGGGUUGCCACUUAGUUCCAUGUCGAGAACCAGAAAAUCAACUGGAAAGUAAAACUCAUCUACCUUGACCAAGACAUCCUCAAGCAUUCCACGUGGUUCCUUAAUUGAACUGUCGGCUAACUGCAGUGUGACUGAUGUGGGUUUCAGUUCUCCGAAUCCAAAAAAUUCAUACACCGAACUAGGUAAAACAUUCACACUUGUCCCUAAAUCCAGAAGAGCUUUUUCAAUGUGAUAAUCUCCUAUAACACAGAAAAUGAUGGGGGCUCCUGGGUCCUUAAGCUUUGGAGGAGUGGCAUGCUAGAAGACAGAACUAGCUUGUUCAGUGAGGC
rnacentral:lncRNA from 1 species